rnacentral:rRNA from 1 species
ACGAGGGAUCCUAGCGUUGUUCGGAAUCAUUGGGCGUAAAGAGUAUGUAGGCGGCCUUGUAAGUCAGUUGUGAAAGCCCCGGGCUCAACCCGGGAAGUGCAAUUGAUACUGCUUGGCUUGAAUGUGGAAGAGGGUAGUAGAAUUCCAGGUGUAGUGGUGAAAUACGUAGAUAUCUGGAGGAAUACCGGUGGCGAAGGCGGCAUCCUGGACCAACACUGACGCUGAGGCGCGAAAGCUAGGGGAGCAAACGGGA